rnacentral:ncRNA from 10 species
UCCGUUCAUCUAUAUUUAAAGAUAUAGACGGAAGUAGUCGUAAGGCGAAGGAACGCAUU